UGUACAUACAAAGAAGAAAAGAGGAUUCACAUAAAUUUUGUAAAAUCAGAUAUAAAAGAAGAAGAACAUUACAACUGAUGCUAUACAAAUACAAAGCAUCAAUUUUAGUCCAACAAAUUGAACAACCUAAAAAUACAGAUAAAUUCUAGAAAUGUACAACCAACUGAGGCUGGAUCAUGGACAGACAGAAAAUAUGAGCAGAUUAAUUAAGAGUAAAGGCAGUGAUUUAGUAAUCAAAACCUCACAGCAAACAAAAGUCCAGGAGCAGAUCGCUUCAACAGUGAAUUUUACCAAAUACUUAAAGAAUACCAAAACUUCACAACCUGUUCCAAAAAACAAGAUGAGGAAACACUUCCAAACCCAUUUUACAAAGCCAGAAUUACCCUGAUACAAAAAACAAACAAGAAGAAUAUCACAAGAAAAGAAUAUACAGGUUAUUAUCUCUGAUAAACAUAGGCAGAAAAAUCCUUGACAAAAUAUUAGCAAACCAACUACAAUAAUACAUUUAAAGGCUCAUACACUAUGUGGGAUUGAUUACAGGGAUGCAAGGAUAGUUUAAACAUCUGAAAAUCAGUUACUGUGGGAUAUUAAAUUAACAAGAUGAAAAUGGAAAAUCAUAUGAUCAUUUCAAUAGAUGCAGAAAAUGCAUUUGACAAAACUCAGUAUAUACUCAUGAUACAAACUCUUAACAAACUGGGUAGAGAAGGAACUUAACUCAGCAUACUAAAGAUCAUGUAUGACAAUCUCACAGAUGAUACUAUAC